ensembl:lncRNA LINC00690 long intergenic non-protein coding RNA 690
CCCUUCCGCCUUCCGGAUGGAUGAAAGCAGAAGCAGUGGCUGGAGCUAGAGCAGCUAUUUAGGACUAUGAGAUGGAAGAAAUGUGGUGACAAUAGCAGAACAAAAAUAUAGAAAUCUUGGGUACUUGAUGACCACGGAGCCGCCAUACAAACUCUGGACUAUAAUUUCCAGAGACUGUUUAUGUGAGAGAGAAAUAUACUUCUCCUGUUAGGCUACUGUUAACUCUGUGUUUUCUGUCAGUUCUGAUAUAGGAGGCAUUGUCAUCCCAUUUUACAGACGAAGAGACGGAGUCUCAAGUUUCCAUAGCUGGUGUGCACUUUAGUUCCUCAAGGACAAUAAUGCCCCACCCUUGAGAUACGGAAACAUGCCACUAAAAGUUAGCCCUGGAGGGCCUUUAAGUCAGCUUUCAAAGAACAACAGAUCUGGUUUUGUGACUCUGGGAAAAUUACCAUCCAAGCCUCAGUUUCUUCUUCUCUAAAAUGGGAAGGAUAGUAAAAGUACCUGCGACAGAGUUGUUGGGAGGACCGAGCAAGAGGCUGCACAGUGCCUGGCCCUGACCAAAUGAACAAGUCUAUCUGAACUUUUUCUCCAGAGAAUGAAGAUACUGUCAUUACCUCUGCAAAGAAUGCAUCCUAGCACAGAUCAAAGAUCUUCCAAGUCCAGCCACACCAUUUUACAGUUCUGAACCUCGACUUAGGAAAGCAGUGGAUCUUUAUACAUUUGACACAUCCCUUCCCUCUAGGAUCUCUGUGGCUAUUGAAAAUGGACUGGAGAAGAUGAGUGGGAGUGAGAAGAGGAUAACAGAAUCAGAUAAAAACCUGUCAUGUUACUAAGAGCAGGAGAUGAGGCAGCCUGGACCAAGAUGGUGGCAGAGAGAAGAAAAUUGCUUGAGAGAAUUGAUUAAACUACUUGGUUAGCACAGAUAGAGCUGAAUCAAAAAUUAGGAUGGUAAGCUAAGUAAUUUUACACACAAAAAGGCAGAGUUGCAUUCAUAAUUAGUCUCUCCUUCAGACUGAAUAUUACAGACAAAAUAUAGCCAUUGGUGUUGCAAUCACUUCCUUUGGGUUUGUAUCCAAGGUUAAGAAUGUCAGCAUCCAAAGACCCAAAUUCUUAAUGUUUUUAGUUGAUAAAGUUUAUUCAAGGUAGACAGCCUGUGUUGAAUAACUUAGUCUUCCACAAAUUUCAAGAAAAAUCCAUUGUCCCUCUUCUCCGCCACAGACACACUUUAGUUGAACAUUAAGCAUAUUUAUUAAAGAAACAUUCUCCUUGU